UGGAACAUACAGCUUCAUAGCCACUUGCCUUCCUUUUUUUAUUUUUCCAUCUGAUAUACAGAUCUUGAGACCCUGGUUAUAAGAACAUUUAUUACCAGAUGAAAAAUAUGUAAGAGGAAGAGUAUUGCUAGAAUCAGAGCCUUAGGUAGGCUAUGUAUCAGCCAAAUUUCUUCCAUUCAUUUCCCUUUAUGAGAUAAGGGAUCAACCCCACAUGCCUUGAAGUGAGGCACAAUCACUGACUGCUGUGGAAAGGAAGGCCCUUCAUGCAAACCUGCCCUGUAUUUGGUGUGCAGCAAUGCGGCCUGUCUCUUUAAUUCAAAUGUCAGUUUCUAUUGGAAGAAAGCCUUUGAGGCUGGCAUGGUGAAAUUUCUAGGCAGCGUUUCUUUGGAAACUCUUUGCAGUAUCCAUGGAUACUCAAUCUGCAGGAAGCAAGGUGCAUGAUCUCUUCAGAAGCAAUGCACAUGCACAUAUAGUUUCUCUGCAUUGGAAGGAGAAGUACUGCAAAAUCUGAUUAUUUUUGGAGAUUAUUAAUACAAAAACAACUCCAUCUAUCAGUGUAGUGGAGUUUUAUUUGUUCUGAAAACAUGUACAUAAAAUAACCCCAGAAGAGUUCAAGUAUUUAUAACCAGAGGAGUUUAUGGCCUAGGAGCCUUAUUUUGAACGUUUUGUCUGCUCUAUAUUUGUCACUUAAUCAUUACCUCAGUUCAUCUGUCUACCAAGAAAUGGUUCACAAUUAGUCCUAAACCUUCCUGGGGUAAUUUACUUUAAAAAAAAAAAAGAAAUUUAACAGUGCUGUGAAUAAAAUCUCCUUUUAAUAAGAACAAAAUGAAGAUCAGUUAAAGAAGAUAGUUAUUGAGUCCAAUGGUGAUGUCUACAAAUAUUUGAACAUUAUUACUUUAAAGAACAUUCUUUUUUUUUCUUUUUUAAUACUUGCUACUUGCCUGGACUUGGUCUUCUGAAUACCAAACCCUGUAAUUAUGAUGCAGAGUAAAUAAUUAUUCUUGGAUUGAACUCAACAAAAAAGAAUUCCUUGUUACUGUUUUUCCCUUGUGGACUGGCAUUUCACCAGCUGUUACAUAAUUCUCAGUGUCCUUGUAUUUGAAAAAUGUCAAUUCAUCUCAAAGCCUUGUGGUAGUGAUAUGAGUGAUGAAAUACUCUUGUAAAAAAGCAACCUCUGUACUCAGCAUUUUUAUAAUUUUAUAGUCUUCAUAGUUUUAUAGUCUUCUUACUUAAAGAUGAGUUGACUUCUUCAGGAGUCUUCUGCUGAUGUAGUUACUAUACUGUGGUUUGAUUAGGGUAUGUGUGUCUCUCAAAGAGUCAUGUGCUGGAAACUUUGACUUCAGUGUUGGCAGCUUUGAGGUAGUGGGACCUUUAAGAGGUGGUGCCUAGUACAAGAUAAUUAGCUCAUGGGGCAUUGCCCUUGGAAGGGAUUAAUGCUGGUCUCACAUAAUGAGAGUAAGUUGUUAUAAGAGUAAGUCUGGGGCACGCCUGUAAUCCCAGCAAUUUGGGAGGUUGUGGCAGGAGGACCACGAGGUCAAAGCCAGCCUCAGUAAAAGUGGGAUCGCUAAGCAACUCAGUGAGACCCUGUCUACACUAAAAUACAUAAUAGGGCUGGGGCUGGGGCUCAGUGUUUGAGUGCCCCUGAGUUCAAUCCCCAGCACCCUGAAUUUCUCUGGCUUCCUCUUUUGCCAUGUGAUCUCUCCUGCAUAUUCUCUUGCCAUUGUGAUGCCAUGAGGCUCUCACUAAAGUUGAGCAUAUGCUGUUGAAUCUUCCAAAAUGGUGAGCUGUCUAAACCUGUUUCCAUUAUAAAGUAUUCAGCUUCAGAUGUUUUGCUAUAGCAACAGAUAAUGGCCUAAGAUACUUAUGACUAUUAGCAG
rnacentral:lncRNA from 1 species